rnacentral:lncRNA from 1 species
CCGGAAUCCAUGGCAACGAGAGCUUCGCAUUAUCGAUCAAAUAAAAAUCUAGCAAACCCUAGUUAAAAAAUAAUCUCGGAAAGAUAAAUACCGAAAGAAACGUAACGUACCGUGAAUAUGAAGUUAUAUCCAUGUUUAAGAACAUUAGUAAGAAACAGCGUUCUUCUCCACAUCAUGUUGAUGAAAUCUUCGCUCAUGUAUAGCUUCUCCCCCACAAAAUCCACGCCGUCCGUUUUGAGCUUGUAGCAAUGCAACCGUAGAUAUUUACACCGAUCAUACGAGGUUUGAUCCGCCGCCACGAUUAAGAGAUGAUCGACUAGGUUUCUUGUGUUUUCGCCUAGCCAAAAUCCAUCGAGAAAUAUGUCGAGCAUGGGCUUGUCUCCUUCUACGUAGGCUUUGUUCACCAUGGCUAUAAUCACCGUCUUGUUUUGUNUUGAGAAAUACAAUCUGCAAUGUAUUUGUACUAGGAGAAGAACAAAGUUUACUCUGAAACCACCACUUUAUUAUUAUGAAAGACGAUUACAAUAUAAAGGAAAAGAGAUAUAUGAUAUCCCAUGAAAGUAGGAAAGAAAUAAACUAGAGCCAAAGAUAAGCCUAAAUGAACGUAAGAUUUAUUCUCUUAAUGAUUCUGCAGAUUCUCCAGCCAUGCACCAGCGAUUGUGUCACCUUGCCAUAUCCAGCAGCAUCCAUGAUUCUGGGGAAUUAUACCGAGUUUAGAUUAAUAAACCCAACAAACUCCCCUUUAAUCUAAACUCGUCUAAAUGCACUUUACCACGCCAAGUAAGUUUCUCAUGAUUUCGAAUUUUACAGCUGCAAGGGCUUUUGUGAGUAGGUCCGCACGCUGUUCCUCAGAUCGUACAUGUUUUACAGUGAUUUCUCCGUUCUCUACACACUCACGUAUGAAGUGAUACCGAAUGUCUAUAUGCUUGCUUCUCCCAUGAAACACCGGAUUUUUGGCCAAGUCAAUCGCAGACUUGUUAUCAAUGAAGAGAGUGACUGGGCCAAUGUCAUACUUGGUAAUCUGAGCUAAUAAUUUCCUUAACCAAACAGCUUGACAAGCUGCAGCUGUGGCUGCCAUGAACUCAGCUUCGCAUGAAGAAAGUGCGACACAUUUUUGUUUCUGGGAUGUCCAGGUUAUCAAACUCUUGUUAAGGUAGAACACCAUGCCUCCGGUACUCUUCCUGUCCUCUAUAUUGCCAGCCAAAUCGCUGUCGGAAUAUCCAAUCAGCACUUCAUUGUCACUGUCCUGUGAGUAUACCAGUCCGAAGUCAAUCGUUCCCUUUACGUACCUGAGUAUGCGUUUUACAGCACCUUGAUGCAACUGUGUGGGUCUGUCCAUGAAUCUGCUUAGAAUGCCCACAGAAUACGCCAGAUCAGGUCUGGUGUGCACCAAGUAUCUCAAACCUCCUAUCAUACUCUUGUAUGCUGUAGGGUCUACUGCUAUUCCUUCUUCAUCUUUGUUAAUGACUUCUUUGGGGUGCAUCGGAAUCUUUGCUGAAUUACACUGCAGCAUACCAGCUUUAUUGAGGAUUUUCUUCGCGUACCCUGACUGUUUUAGCUGGAUAUAGCCAUUUCUUUGCAUGACUUCAAUGCCUAGAUAGUACGUUAGCUCCCCCAAAUCACUCAUGUCGAACCUGUGUCCCAUCUUCCUCUUGAACUCCUCAAUUUCCUUUAUGCUUGAACCUGUCACCAAGAUGUCGUCGACAUAUACGCCGACUAUAAGUACACCCUCUCCUGUUUUCUUUGUGUACACAGCUUGCUCGUAUGCACACCUGACAAAACCCAAUUCUUCUAAGCAUUUAUUCAGUUUGGAGUACCAGGCCCUUGGAGCUUGACGAAGACCGUACAGUGCUUUUAUGAGCUUAUAAACUAGAUGUUCCUUCCCAUGCUUAACAAAUCCUUCAGGCUGUCUGACGUAGACUUCUUCCUUAAUUUCUCCGUUCAGAAAAGCCGUCUUCACGUCCAGAUGGUGCACCUUCCAUUGUUCUUUUGCUGCAAUUGCGAGUAACAAUCGUAUGGUCUCAAUACGUGUGACUGGAGCGAAAACUUCAUCAUAAUCUACGCCUUGCUUCUGAACAUAUCCCUUGGCAACGAUCCUGGCCUUGUACUUCACAAUGUUCCCGUUUGCAUCUCGUUUGAUUUUGUAGAUCCACUUCAAGUCAAUGGGUUUCCUGUCUCGAGGUAGUUCUGUCAGAACCCAAGUUCCGUUUCUCUCUACUGCAUCCAUUUCUAUCUCCAUUGCCUUUGUCCAUUCACUUUCUUUCACUGCUUGUGUGUAGUUUGCUGGUUCAUCUACGCCCAUGAGGAAAAGUUCUUCAUCUUCCAACUCGAACGGCACAGUUUCAUUAUAGACAUCACUCAAGUCCCUGUACCUUCGAGAUUGUUCUGCAGAGCUUGUUGAGUUUGUAGUUGGCGUUGAUGUCGAAGCUUGUCUGGCCAAAGUCUGAGAACUCUGUGUGUGUGCUUCACUUCCAGAGAAUCUACUCGUCGAACUAUGGCUUACAAAGUUACCUGAGCCACCGUCAGCGUUUGAGUGCCUCGGUACAGGGUCUGGUGUCGACUCUUCAUUCAAACUCGAUGCAUCAUUUUCAUUGAUCUCGGUUGCUUCAUCCAAACCACCUGUAAAUACAGUGAAGGUACCGGCUGGUGACUGUGUUUCUUCCAUUUCUUUAACCCAAUUCCAAGCUCUUCUUUCUUCAAACUCUACAUCUCGGCUCACAGAAAUUGUCUUAGUCACAGGGUCAUACAGUCUGAAAGCUUUCGUACCCGAUUCUUUCCCAAGGUAGACAACUGGUUUGCUCCUGCUGUCUAGUUUUUUCAAAUUUACACCGGGCAGUUUCAUGUGGGCAACACAGCCAAAGACACGGAGAUGAUCAACAUGUGGUUUCUUUCCCGACCAGGCUUCGUAUGGCGUAAUUCCAGUUAGUGCACGUGUGGGUAGUCUAUUGAUCAAGUAAGUGGAGUGACGCACGGCCUCUCCCCAAAAAUGAUUUGGCAAGUUCAUCUCCUUCAGUAGGCUUCGUGACAUCUCAAGUAGUGUUCUAUUACGUCGCUCAACCACGCCGUUCUGCUGAGGCGAAUAGGGUGCAGAGAAGUGUCUAACAAUUCCAGUUUCCUUGCAAUACUUCGAAAACUCUUUUGAAGUGAAUUCUCCACCGUUGUCUGUUCUGAAAGUCAUGAUUUUAUUCCUUUCAGGAGUGUUCUCAACCAACACACGAAAAUUUUUGAAAGCCUCAAAUGCAUCACUUUUGUUCUUCAACAAAUAGGUCCACAUAACACGACUAUAAUCAUCAAUCAAGACAAGUAUGUAUUUAUUACCUCCUGGAGUACAUGGUGUGAUCGGUCCGCACAGGUCACCGUGGACUAGUUCAAGCGGUUUCUUUGCUGAAAAGCUCGAUUUUUGAGGGAAUGAUUUUCUGACUUGCUUUGACAUCAAACAUCCAGUGCAAACUUCAUGUUGUUGAUCUAUCUUUGGCAUUCCACAGACCAUAUUUGUCGAGGACAUGAGCUUCAUCGCCUUGAAAUUCACAUGGCCUAGGCGAGAGUGCCACAGCCAACUCUCAUUCUCAUCUCUCGACAGCAAGCACUUCGUCUCGCCGCUGUAGAUAAUGAUUUUAUACAAUCUGUUCGGAGACCGUUUGACUUUCAUGAACAAAGCACCCUGUUCUUCAUGAACCCAGAGAUACUCUCCCUUGAUAGAUAUUCUAUAUCCAUUCUCUGAGAGUUGUCCAAGACUAAUUAUAUUACUUCUAAGUGAGGGAAUAUAAUAUACCUCAGUCAGUGUCCUGUUUUCUCCAUUCUUGCACCUCAAUGUGAUUGAUCCCUUGCCUCUUAUUUGAACCAUCGAGCCAUCACCGAAUUUUACCUGACCUGUUAUCCCUGUGUCAAGUUUAUCAAAUUUCGAGUACUGGCCAGUCAUGUGGUUGCUUGCACCAUUGUCCAAGUACCACAAAUUUGAUUCCAUUUGUUCGUUUUCUCCUUGACCCAACUUCGGUUUUACUCGUUCCUCGUUGAUCACCGUACCAUUCUUUUCCCUUUCAACCAAAAGUAAGGCCGGUUCAUCGUCAGGUAUCUGGGCAAAGUGAGCCUCAUCAGUGUCUUCCCUUUCUCGUCUUGAUUUUUUGCACUCCACGGCAUAGUGACCGUAAGCGUUACAGUUGAAACAUCGCACUUUAGUUUUAUCUCGUCCUCCUCGUAUGUACCCUUUUGCCCUGUUCCUUGCAUGCGAUGUCUCGGCGUUUCCUUUGACUGAACAUUUCAUCCAUUCCUCUUUUGUAAGCAAUAGCUUGCUCUCUUCUUUUUCUCUUUCGACCCACUCCUCCCUGGUGAGAAGUAACUUUCCCUCCUUUGUCUCAGUUUGUCCCUUGAUUCUUUCUUCAUGAGCCUUCAGUGAUCCCACCGUUUCUUCCACAGUCAUUUUCUCGAUAUUUCCAAACUGUUCUAUAGUGGAGGCGAUUUGUAAAAAUUUCGAAGGGGCUGCUCUUAAGAUCUUUUUGACGACAUAGCUUUCUGCAACAGUUUCUCCCAGUGAGCGUAUGUUGGUCACCAAUCCGUUCAAUUUCAUGGUGAAGUCGUCUAUUGAGUCUGUGUCCUGCAUAGUCAUAGACUCAAACUCUGCCUUGAGGGUUUGUAUUUUUGCCGUCUUGGCUCUAUCAGCACCUUGACACAGUGUUUUGAUAGCCUCCCACGCUCCCUUGGCUGAUUCCUUGUCUGCAAUCGAGAGGAGUACGUCCUCCGGANAGCUGUUUCUGCAAAUUUUCACUAAUUCUUGCAACACAUAUCACUACAUCCUAAAGAGAAUAUCACUAAAUUGUACNAUUGCUCCAUUACUCAAAGAGAAUCAUAAGAAAGAGCCUCCAACAAACACGUAGGAGGAGACAUGAAUAAAUUAUGGGAAUUUACUAAACACUGGAUUCCAGCGACUUCAUGUGCUACCCAGUUAGCAUUCUUCCGAACAAAAACAAUCGAACCUCUACAUAAAUUGCUUAGCAUCUGUUUACAAGUCUCGAUUAUUUCUUCAACCUCUAAAAAAUUCACCUUCUGGCCUGCAAUUGCAUCAACGCUGAGUUUUGAAUCGGCCUCAAUUACCACAACCCGUAGUCCUCAUCGUGCCGGUGAUUAAUAUACGACUAACUAUACGUUUAUUGUUUACACACAUUUCGAUUUCGAAGUUUUUAUAAAAUAUAAUUUAUAAUAUUUUUUUAAUUUUUUUUGAAAUAAAAAUUUAAACAUCAAAUUUUUAUUAAAGAAAUUAAAAUUAUUUGCUUGUGGGUAAGAAUUCGAAGAAUAUGUAAGAAGAUUAUAAUUACAAAUUUAGAAAAUAAAUUUAGGUCGAUUUUUUUUAUUGCAUGUGAAUAUGUGAUAGCAAAAACUGAUAUGGAAAAUAUUAUUCAUAUUCUUGUUGUGGAUUAUGAUGGUAUGAUGAUGUUAAGAUGAAGUGUUCUUUGUGGGUUACGUCAAGAAAGGCCCAUUUAAAAUUAUUGAUUCACCCACAUAUAUCUACGUGGGUGUGGACUAAUGGAAGAGAUUCAAGUCCAUGUCGAGUCCAGAAUGAUAAGGUGGGGCCGUUUGGGCAAGCUUAAAAGAAGUGACUUCUGGCUUAAACUAGAGAAGUGGAGCAGAAGUGUUCAACUUCAAAACGCGGCGNNNNNNNNNNNNNNNNNNNNNNNNNNNNNNNNNNNNNNNNNNNNNNNNNNNNNNNNNNNNNNNNNNNNNNNNNNNNNNNNNNNNNNNNNNNNNNNNNNNNNNNNNNNNNNNNNNNNNNNNNNNNNNNNNNNNNNNNNNNNNNNNNNNNNNNNNNNNNNNNNNNNNNNNNNNNNNNNNNNNNNNNNNNNNNNNNNNNNNNNNNNNNNUGUUCAUACUUCUUUCUCCACCUCGGCUGAUAUGGAAAAUAUUAUUCAUAUUCUUGUUGUGGAUUAUGAUGGUAUGAUGAUGUUAAGAUGAAGUGUUCUUUGUGGGUUACGUCAAGAAAGGCCCAUUUAAAAUUAUUGAUUCACCCACAUAUAUCUACGUGGGUGUGGACUAAUGGAAGAGAUUCAAGUCCAUGUCGAGUCCAGAAUGAUAAGGUGGGGCCGUUUGGGCAAGCUUAAAAGAAGUGACUUCUGGCUUAAACUAGAGAAGUGGAGCAGAAGUGAGAAGUAAAUAAGUUAAUAAAGUGUUUGUAAAAGAAGCAGAAGCUGUGAGACAAAAGCUAGCAUUCUCAGCUUUUUAAAAGUACUUCUACUUCUUUACACAAACGGGUCAAAAGAAGUAGAAGCCAGAAGCAGCUUCUGCUUCCGUUAAACAAACAGGCACAAGGUUUCGAUCCGACUUAUAAGUAUAGUUUAGAUUAAACUAGAUUUAAGUUUGAUUAUUUCCUAAUAAAUAAUGAAAUAACAGUAAUAAAUAGUUUUAUUUUGUAAAAUUCAUCACUUUUCUUAAAGGAAAUUUAUCUCACUUGCAGUACAUUUUUGUCAAAGAAUUAGAAAAGCGCUGAAAAAUCUGGAAUAUAAUUAAGAAAAAUUAAAACAAAAACUGAAACGAAGAGUUCGAAUUAAAUAUUUUCAAGGAUUUAAACAAACACCGUAAAAGUCAGAAAAAUAUUUUUUGGACAAAUAACGAAGUCUAAAAAUAAAGUAUAUACAUAGGAGUACUUUUUUAUUUGAAAACUUUCAGGAAAAUUGGUACAUUUUGGUAAUAUUAAUAAUGGGCAGAAAGUACUCAUACAUCUUUUUAUGUAAAAACAAGGUCGUAGUAAAAAUUUCCCUAAACUAUUAAAUUAAAUUUGGUAUCAGAGACCUCUACUUAAUCAUCAAAAUUUAUCAACUUUUUACAAAAAUCAGUUUUUAACAUGAUCACCUACCACUAACAGCAGGGUGGAGUCUGACCUCGCAAAAAUUCGAAUUAUACAAUUUUCACAUAGACCUACUCCCAAUAUUUUUAAUUGUAUCAGAAAUAACAUGAGAAAUAAUAAUAUUAAAAUAUAUACAUAGACAAUACAAGUAUUCGUUGGUCCAUGGGCGUAAACAAAACAAAAUAAAUAUUUCUUACAAAAAACGAAAAAAAACAUUUUGAGGCUUUAAUUUCUACCUGUAUAAUUCAGCGAUUUCUCCACGAAUCCAUACAUGCAUUGUGCGGUGACCAUCUAAACGGCACCGUUUGAUUAGCGAAAAAUCUUUUCCAGUCAUGAAUGACACUAGUUAGAUCAGUAACCUUAGCAUGGAUACUUCUACAACAGUUAGCAUGAACUGUGGACACAACUCUAACAUCUCUACUGUCUUGACAAAACCCACUGAAGUAAAGAGUGUCCAAGAACCUAGCCUUGAUCCCUAACCUCCUAAACAAACCUCGGCGCAUCAGUUUUUCCAGCACAUCUUGUUCUUUCAGACCCUCGGAUUUGUUUUUUUGAGCGUACCAGGAAUCGAACAGUGCGAUGGUUUUGUGGUUGGAAUUGAUCAUGUAGAAGCCUGUGUUGAUCCGUUGUCUGCAUUCUGACCAUGGGUGGCCGAUGAAGUAGUCGACGCUGAUUUGGAUGUCGAUGCUUUGGUUUUGUAUGAGAUUUGGGAAUGGGUUUCUUAGCCAUAAUACGUCUGCGUCCUGCAGAUCAUCAGAGCAAAUAUUAAGAAUAUUGGACAUGUUAAAAAUCGACACAACAGAUAUAACAAUUUUUUAUAAUAUAAAACAUUACUACAUCCACUACUUUCUCCCGGCCCACUAUCUUCAUUUAUAUAACAAUAAAUCCGUGUUCAAUCCCAAUUUAUAUAAUUCAUUGGGACGGAGGGACUACUCUACUAUUAUGCGGUGUUAGGUAGUCAUCUAUAAUUUGUUUUCAAAACAGAUUAUAUCUUGCUAUUAUGAAAUUAAUCCUUCGAAAUUACUACUCAUAUAAUUAUAAAAUCAGUUAUCGUCAUUUGUAAUUUGGUCCGAGAUGAACAGUAUCCUCGUAUAUACGUAUAUAUAUGCUUUUACUUAAUAAUUGUUUUCACCGAUGAAACAUCUUUUCAUAUUUUAUUCGACUAUUUUCUAAUCAGUCAAUGCACUAUAACUAAUUAUUAUAUGUGUGAUGAUACUAAACAAUACACAUGUUAUUUAAUAAUACCAUGUGAUUAUAAUUUUUUACGGAUCUUUCUUUUUCAAUGUAAAUUUCAUUCUAAUGACACAUAAAAGUUAUAUCAUAUUCAAACAUUCUUUAAUAUAUUCCAAAAAUUUUCCUUAACUUCCUUCCAAUUAUUAUUUAGAAAAAAUUCAGUUCUAAUAAUACAUAAAAAUUUGUCAUAUUCAGACUCAAUAUCACAUGUCAACCAAUUAUCGUUUAAAAUUCACAAAGGCUACCUAAUCUACAGUCUAAAAUAAUCUACGUAUCUGCCCACCCUAUCCCAUUGUAGUAGUAUAAAUUUCAGUAGCUGGCGUGUUCAAUAAUAAUAUCCCUGUUUGGUUUCCAUUCUAUUAGAGAUCUAUUCACAAGUGAUUUUUCAAAUAUUUUCACACAUUUCUUCAAAAACAAUAUUACGGGUGUUUGGCGAUAGCUUUUAAACCAAGUUUCUGAAUUUAUAAGUUAGAAACACUUAUGCACUUAUUUUAAACUUACCAAAACGGUCUCAAUAUCUUUACGGAUAUUUUCACAUUGUUUAAGUUAGAAACACUUAUGCACUUAUUUUAAACUUACCAAAACGGUCUCAAUAUCUUUACGGAUAUUUUCACAUUGUUUAAGUUAGAAACACUUAUGCACUUAUUUUAAACUUACCAAAACGGUCUCAAUAUCUUUACGGAUAUUUUCACAUUGUUUACAGUGGCGGAACCAGAGGGGGGCUAGAGAGGAUGCUAGAGCCCCCAACCUCGAAAAAACAGUGUAUAUUUUUUUUCAGGCCCCGCUGAAUUAGUGAUUUCAAUAUAAUUUUUUUUUAAGCCCCGCUGAAGUAUAAAUGUCAUACAGAGGGAGGCACUUAGUCUAACAGAAAAUCUAAUUAACAAAUACAUUCAAACAGAUGCACUCCGAGCAACUCCAACAAGCUCCUAUUUUUUCUCUAAAAAUAAUAUAAACAAUCAACUCUUAACCAUUUAAGAAGUAAAAUUACACAAUAUUUUACUAACCUUUUUAUUGGGAGACAUUUUGAGAAGAUGUUCACUACUGUAAAACUUGUUUACUAACCUUUUUAUUUAACAUGUUAUUGAUCUUAUUUCCCAAGAGAAGGAUAACCGUUUAAUUUACAGAAGGAAAUAUAGAGUUACUACUUUGUAUUGGCUCUUUGGAUCCUAGGAAUUAAUUUUCAAGUUUCAAUAACUCAAAAUUGGUCUUCAUUGCACAAUUUUAUCCAAAGGAAUUCUCUUUGCUAGAUCUUCAAAGUAUAGGAAAUCAAUUUUCUACUAUGAAAACAAAUAGGAUGGGAGAUACACGACUGAAUGAUAGUAUGAUGAUAUAUAUUGAGAAAACUAUUUAAGCAAGUAUGGAUGACGAAAUAAUUCAGCCCCCUAACUCUUAUUCCUGGUUCCGCCACCGAUUGUUUACUACAAUAAGCUAGCAUGGUUUAUAGGUUAUAGGUUAUUUUAAUAUUUAUAAGCUUUUUAUUAGUUUUUUUCAUAAAGUUUUUUAAUAAUUUAAUUAUAAUAAUAUAGUAUAAAUCUUAAUAAUAUUAUUAAUUUUAAUAACUGGACUUUACAAUUAAAAAUUUAAAAAUAUUUUAAAAUUUGUUGGCUAAUUAAUUUAACUUAAUUAUUAAAACAAUUAAAUUUCAAAAUAAAGAGAUCUAACAAGUAGAGGUGGCAAUAUGGUUGCAAAAUUAUUAAACCAAACCAAAAUUGUGAAUUUGGAUCAAUAUGAAAUCACAUUUGGAAAAAUGGAUUUGGUUUGGUUUCUAAUCUCAUAUAUCUCGACACACGUUAUUGUGUUCUUUUUCUUUUUGCUAGUUACGCACACCCCGUGAUUCGAACCAUGACCUUCUUGAAGAAGUCUAGAGUUUGAACCACUGCAUCAACUAACAAACCCACACAUGAUAUUGUUAUAUUUACUAUUUAUUACAUUGUCACUUAAGUGUAUUAAUUUCUGUUCAGCAUAUAAUAUUUAUUUUUACUUAUUAAACUAGUUUACCCAUAAUUCAAACUAAAACCAUAACCACAUUUGUUAAUAUAUGGUUUGAAAAUGGUUUUGGUUCAUUUAUCCAACUUAAAUUCAUUUUAUAAGAACCAAAAUCAAACCAAUCACACAUUUUGCCACCUCUAAACUCUGGCAAAGUAUUACCAGGAAUCCAUGGCAACGAAAAUACCGACAAACCCUUUAGAUACAUGCUUCUCAUUCUCGAUCAAAUAAAAAUCUAGCAAACCCUAAUUAAAAAAAUAAUCUUGGAAAGAAACGUACGACCGUGAAUAUGAAGUUAUAUCCAUGUUUAAGAACAUUAGUGAGAAACAGCGUUCUUCUCCACAUCAUGUUGAUGAAAUCUUCACUCAUGUAUAGCUUCUCCCCCAUAAAAUCCACGCCGUCCGUUUUAAGCUUGUAGCAAUGCAAGUGUAGAUAUUUACACCGAUCAUACGAGGUUUGAUCUGCCGCCACGAUUAAGAGAUGAUCGACUAGGUUUCUUGUAUUUUCGCCUAGCCAAAAUCC